rnacentral:rRNA from 1 species
UGCGUAGGCGGAUUAAUAAGUCAGUGGUGAAAUCUUUCGGCUCAACCGAGAAACUGCCAUUGAUACUGUUAAUCUUGAGUUCGGUUGAGGUAGGCGGAAUGUGUAAUGUAGCGGUGAAAUGCUUAGAUAUUACACAGAACACCAAUUGCGUAGGCAGCUUACUAGACCGACACUGACGCUGAGGCACGAAAGCGUGGGGAGCGAACAGGAUUAGAUACCCUGUAGUCC